CUAAGAAUAUUCCGCAAUGGACGAAAGUCUGACGGAGCGACGCCGCGUGGAUGAAGAAGGCCGAAAGGUUGUAAAAUCCUUUUGUCGGGGAAGAAUAAGCGUGGGAGGGAAUGCCCGCGUGAUGACAUGAACCGGCGAAUAAGCCCCGGCUAACUACGUGCCAGCAGCCGCGGUAACACGUAGGGGGCAAGCGUUGUUCGGAAUUACUGGGCGUAAAGGGCAUGUAGGCGGUUUUGUAAGCCUGGCGUGAAAUUCUGCAGCUUAACUGUAGGACUGCGCUGGGAACUGCGAGACUGGAGUCACGGAGAGGGAGCCAGAAUUCCAGGUGUAGGGGUGAAAUCUGUAGAUAUCUGGAAGAAUACCAAUGGCGAAGGCAGGCUUCUGGCCGAUGACUGACGCUGAGGUGCGAAAGCGUGGGUAGCAAACAGG
rnacentral:rRNA from 2 species